rnacentral:rRNA from 1 species
UACGAAGGGGGCUAGCGUUGUUCGGAAUUACUGGGCGUAGAGGGCGCGUAGGCGGUACUUCAAGUCAGGCGUGAAAGCCCCGGGCUCAACCUGGGAACCGCGCUUGAGACUGGAGAACUAGAGUUCGGGAGAGGAUGGUGGAAUUCCCAGUGUAGAGGCGAAAUUCGUAGAUAUUGGGAAGAACACCGAUGGCGAAGGCAGCCAUCUGGACCGACACUGACGCUGAGGCGCGAAAGCGUGGGGAGCAAACAGG